rnacentral:misc_RNA from 1 species
GCAUUAGUCACCCGCUCAUUACUGUUAUUUCAGUAAUUCCUUUAUUUUAAAAGAUAUUUAACUGCGGUUUUGAGUAAAGUUAUUUAAAUUUCCUAAAGAACACCGCUACAGAACGUUUUUUUUAUUUUUUUAUUUUUUUUAGUUUUUAAUUCUGCAAUAAUGAAAAAAAGUCGAAAAUUCGUCUAUAGCGGGAACAUAAAAUCAUUAUUAUAAAAUUAAGCCAAAUGGUAAAAUAUAAAAUUUUAAUUAAUAAAAGCGUAAUAUCAAUAACCGAAAAAUUGAAAAAACAGCUUUAAAUUUCCCAAUACCUGCGGCUUUUGCUGGCAGCUGGCAACGCAGCGCCGUGCGCCGCUUGUCUGGCUGGUGACGAGAGUCGUCCACGGAACGGGGGAGCUAUUCGAUAUUAUAUCAAUUUCGGUAAUUGCAUGCUACUGUUUUUCCGCUGUAAUUUCUAUACCUAUGAUUUUGUGCUUUUUGGGGUAGUUGUGUUUCGUGUUAUUAUUGUUUUUUCUUUUGUCUUUGCGUUUUUUAUUCUUAUCUAUUUUAUUGUGUAUUAGUUAACCAUUUUUUUAUUGGCGGUUUAAAAAAUUUUAAUAAUAAACAAUGGGUAAACGAAAGGAGGGUAAAAAAGAUGUGUAUUAUAUUAAUAAAAAAUCUUUAAAACAGAGAAUGAAACAAGCCCGAUCUAAUAAAAUAAACAAUUUAAGGUAAGUAUAAAACAGUUUUAACCUAAAUAAAGGUUUAUUAUUUACUUAGGUUUAUUAAAACUUUUUAAUCUUACUUUAUUUUAGAACUGCAUCUGAAACUUUUAAAAAUACUGUUUCUGUCGACUAUCUAGAAGAAAAGGCUCGCGAGGAAUCCAGUAAACCCUCGUGUGGUUAUAAUUAUCAAGAUUCUCAGCAACAAAUAUCGCCAACAAUUUUGAAUAAUUAUAGUGAGUUAAAUGUUGAAGAUUCUAUGAGUAUAGAAAAUGAUAAUAAACUUGAAAAUGGUGCUAAAAGUCAAAGCCAACAAGAAAAUAAUUUAGAAUCGGCGAAAAAAAGAAAAAAGUGCAAUGAAUUUGAGAUAGCAGGUAGGCGGAUAUUUGACGUUGAAUAUUUAUUUAAACAAUUUUUAAAUGGGGAACGGCAUAAACCGUUUGACUGCACUCUUGUGGAUAUGGAAUUGAUUAAAGAAAAGAGAAACGGAUUAUAUAGUGAAUUUACACUAAAAUGUAAAAUGUGUAACGUCACUAAAGUAAUUUCAAAUGAAGAAAAUAAAUUUCAACAACUUGAACUAAAUUCUUCAGUGGUUUUAAGCACCAUAUCUACCGGACUAGGCUAUUCACAAAUUAAUGAAGUAGCCGCUUCCAUGAAUAUGCCAUUUAUGUCUUAUAAAACGUUUAGCAGCCAUUAUGAGAAAGUGGGUCAUUUGAUUAGGGAAUCCUCAUGGAAGAGUAUGGAAGAAGCUGCCGCUGAAGAAGCUAGAAUCGCAACCAUUGAAGGCGAAGUGGAUAAAGAUGGAAUUCCAUGUAUUACCGUAGUGACCGAUGGGGCUUGGGCAAAGAGAUCCUACAAUGUCAAUUAUGAUUCUUCAUCUGGAGUGGUAAUACUAAUAAUAAUAAUAUCAAAAUCGAAAAUAGGCAUGUAUAGUUGGCUAUAAAACAGGGAAGUUGUUAUUUCUGGGAAUAAGAAAUAAAUUUUGUUCGUUAUGUUCCUGGUACGAAAAUAAAAAAAAAGACGUUCCAAUACAUAAAUGUCAUAAGAACUGGAACGGCACAUCUACAUCGAUGGAAGCUGACAUAGUAUUGGAGGGCUUUAAAAGAAGCAUGGAGCUUUACAAUUUAAAAUUUACAAAAAUGAUUGGUGAUGGAGAUUCCUCGGUCCACCGAAAAUUAUUGCAAUCAAAGCCUUAUGGUAAUAUGUUGGUGCAAAAGGUGGAGUGCAGGAAUCAUUUGUUGCGAAAUUUUGCCAAGAAAAUUCGAGAAAUAUGUAAUAAAAAACGAAGUAAUUCUAAAAAUGUACCUGUACCAUUAGCGUUAAGAAAAUAGGUUUUGAACAGAUUUUUAAGAUUAAGAAGUGCGAUAACAAAAGCCACCACUCACAGAAUCGCAGAAGACACCACGAUGGACCAAAAAAUUAAAUUGCUAAGGGGUGACAUCUCUAAUGCCCCAAGUCAUGUAUUUGGGGAACACGCCAGAUGUAAAGAAAUUAACUAUUUCAAGUGUGAUAAUCCAAAUUACACAAAUUUAGUGCCAAGUAUGCAGACUUGUGGAAUUUAUGAAGACAUCUUAGUAGCUUUGCAAAGAAUUAUAGAUAAUGCAAGCAGCCUAAUCCUCAAUAUGGACAAUAACCUCGCUGAGCAUUAUAACAGUAUUGUUAGCAAAUUUGUUGGUGGCAAGCGUAUAAAUUUUUGCAAACGAGGUUCAUAUGAAGCUCGCUGUGAGGCAGCUGCAUUGUCAUUUAAUUCUGGUGGUAGCUAUUAUGAAAUCCUUCAUAAAACCGCAAUAGGCACAAGCCCUCGUUCCUUUACUAAGCGGUAUAUUCAGAGAUGUAAAAAGAUAAGGCUGUUUUAUCAAACUAAAAGACUGCAAAAAACAUUAAUUUCAAAAAAAAAAAAAUAAGAAAAGAAAACAAACUCUUCCUGAUAAGGAUUAUGGUCCUGACGCCCAUUACAUUCCUUUAGAAAUAAACAGUGACGUUUUUAUUUCGAGGAAAAAAGAAAUCUUAAAAGAUAUGAAACAAAGUCCAGAGGAAAUAAAACAUAUUGAAAAUUCUACAAUUGGCCAGGCUUCUAAUCCAAAAUGGAUACAAGAAAGAUCACAGCGGAUUACUGCCUCAAAUUUUGGCAAAAUAUGUAAAAUGCGGGCAAAAACCUCGCCAUGUGGUGCAAUAAAAACGAUGCUGUAUGGAAAUUUUAGCGGCAAUAAUGCUACAAGAUAUGGAAGUGAAAGCGAGGCCCGAGCAAUUUUAGAAUUUGAAAAUGAAUUUAAUUUAAAAGUGUCUCGAUGUGGAAUUUUUAUAGGUGAACAAGAAUAUUAUUUGGCAGCGAGCCCUGAUGGUUGCAUUAAUGAACAUGAUUUGGUAGAAGUUAAAUGCCCAUUUAGCAUUGCCAACAUGACUCCAACCGAAGCAAUAUUAUCAAAAAAGAUCACAUUCGGUACAUUGGAAAAUAACCACCUACAUUUGAAAAAAAACCACAAUUAUUACUACCAAGUUCAGGGGCAGUUAGCUAUAGCUAACAAGCAAUCAUGCUAUUUUAUUAUUUGGAGCCCUCUUGGCAUGUUAGUUGAACAGAUUGGCCGUGACGAACAAUUUUGGGAGGAAAAAAUGUUACCAAAAUUAAAAGCCUUCUACUUCAAUUUUUUAUUACCAGAAAUAGUUGACCCGCUUUAUCCAAAAGGGCUGCCUAUCAGAACUUAAAAUUCUUCCGUUGGCGAAAAACCUGUCAACUGAAUUGAUGCAGAAGCUAAUUAAUUUUUUUUAAUUUAUUUCCUAAUAUGUAAAAACCUUAAUAAAUAUGUAUAUACGUUUUUUAUAUGUUUAUAUUUUUUUGUUAAUAUACGUUUCGUUCGUUUCUUUUUUUUUUAAUUUAUUGCAGUAUUUUCCCAUAAUUUCUA